rnacentral:rRNA from 1 species
UACGUAGGUGGCGAGCGUUGUCCGGAUUUAUUGGGCGUAAAGGGUGCGUAGGCGGUUUGAUAAGUCUUAUGUGAAAUCUCUGGGCUCAACCCAGAGUCUGCAUAGGAAACUGUCGGGCUUGAGUAUGGGAGAGGUGAGUGGAAUUUCCGGUGUAGCGGUGAAAUGCGCAGAUAUCGGGAAGAACACCCGUGGCGAAGGCGGCACUCUGGGACGGUACUGACGCUGAGACGCGAAAGCGUGGGGAGCGAACAGG